UACGGCCAUAUCAUGUUGAAACACGACUUUCCGUACGAUCUCCAAAGUUAAGCAAUGUCGAGCCUGGUCGGUACCUAGAUGGGUGAUUGCUUGAAAAUAUGAGGUGCUGUAA